CUUUUGGUUGUAAAGCACUUUAAGCGAGGAGGAGGCUACCGAGAUUAAUACUCUUGGAUAGUGGACGUUACUCGCAGAAUAAGCACCGGCUAACUCUGUGCCAGCAGCCGCGGUAAUACAGAGGGUGCAAGCGUUAAUCGGAUUUACUGGGCGUAAAGCGCGCGUAGGUGGCCAAUUAAGUCAAAUGUGAAAUCCCCGAGCUUAACUUGGGAAUUGCAUUCGAUACUGGUUGGCUAGAGUAUGGGAGAGGAUGGUAGAAUUCCAGGUGUAGCGGUGAAAUGCGUAGAGAUCUGGAGGAAUACCGAUGGCGAAGGCAGCCAUCUGGCCUAAUACUGACACUGAGGUGCGAAAGCAUGGGGAGCAAACAGGAUUAGAUACCCUGGUAGUCCAUGCCGUAAACGAUGUCUACUAGCCGUUGGGGCCUUUGAGGCUUUAGUGGCGCAGCUAACGCGAUAAGUAGACCGCCUGGGGAGUACGGUCGCAAGACUAAAACUCAAAUGAAUUGACGGGGGCCCGCACAAGCGGUGGAGCAUGUGGUUUAAUUCGAUGCAACGCGAAGAACCUUACCUGGUCUU
rnacentral:rRNA from 1 species